rnacentral:rRNA from 1 species
UACGACUACAUAUCAGGCAUAUCAAUAAGCGGAGGAAAAGAAACUAACUAGGAUUCCCUUAGUAACGGCGAGUGAAGCGGGAAGAGCUCAAAUUUGAAAUCUUCAAGGUUUUACCUUGACGAAUUGUAGUUUAAAGAAGUGUUUUCUGUUGGUGUUUUGGUAAAAGUUCUUUGGAAUAGGACAUCAUAGAGGGUGAGAAUCCCGUAUUUGACCAUCACUUCCAGCUGUGUGAUACACUUUCAAAGAGUCGGAUUGUUUGGGAAUGCAGUCCAAGAUGGGUGGUAAAUUCCAUCUAAAGCUAAAUAUUGGCGAGAGACCGAUAGCGAACAAGUACCGUGAGGGAAAGAUGAAAAGAACUUUGAAAAGAGAGUUAAACAGUACGUGAAAUUGUCAAAAGGGAAGCGUUUGACACCAGUGUUGUUUUUCCGAAAAUCAAUUACGAAUGUUUUGUUUUUGAGGAGUUAUGACUUCAUCGGCUUGCUCCUUUCUUUACGAAACUUUCUUAAUGCACUUUUCGGUUAACAAGUCAACAUCAAUUUCUUUUGUUGUAAAAGGGUAUGAGGAAGGUGGCUUUCUUUUCGGAGAAAGUGUUUAUAGCCUUGUGCCUCUGCAAUCGGAGAGAUUGAGGUCUGCAGCGUAGAUCCUUCGGGGUUAGAUACGUUUGUGCUAAGUUAUAGCUUUUCAUAGACAACUUGUUGACUAUGUUUAGUCUUGUAGCUUACUCGCUGACGCUAUUUUACCUACGCUUAGGAUGUUGAUCUCUCACAGUCGAGC